rnacentral:rRNA from 1 species
AUUGAACGCUGGCGGCAUGCCUUACACAUGCAAGUCGAACGGCAGCACGGGAGCAAUCCUGGUGCGAGUGGCGAACGGGUGAGUAAAGUAUCGGAACAUGCCCAGUCGUGGGGGAUAACGUAGCGAAAGUUACGCUAAUACCGCAUACGAUCUAUGGAUGAAAGCGGGGGAUCGCAAGACCUCGCGCGAUUGGAGCGGCCGAUAUCAGAUUAGGUAGUUGGUGGGGUAAAGGCUCACCAAGCCGACGAUCUGUAGCUGGUCUGAGAGGACGACCAGCCACACUGGGACUGAGACACGGCCCAGACUCCUACGGGAGGCAGCAGUGGGGAAUUUUGGACAAUGGGCGCAAGCCUGAUCCAGCCAUGCCGCGUGCAGGAUGAAGGCCUUCGGGUUGUAAACUGCUUUUGUACGGAACGAAAAGGUUUGACUUAAUACGUUGGACUCAUGACGGUACCGUAAGAAUAAGGACCGGCUAACUACGUGCCAGCCGCCGCCGUAA